rnacentral:rRNA from 1 species
AGCAGCCGCGGUAAUUCCAGCUCCAAUAGCGUAUAUUAAAGUUGUUGCAGUUAAAAAGCUCGUAGUUGAAUUUCGGGGUCGGUAGGUUGGUCAUGCCUCAGGUAUGCACUGGUCUCACUGAUUCCUCCUUCCUGAUGAGCCGUAAUGCCAUUAAUUUGGUGUUGCGAGGAAUCUGGACUGUUACUUUGAAAAAAUUAGAGUGUUUAAAGCAAGCUAACGCUUGAAUACAUUAGCAUGGAAUAAUGGAAUAGGACGUUCGAUCCUAUUUUGUUGGUUUCUAGGAUUGACGUAAUGAUUAAUAGGGAUAGUUGGGGGCAUUAGUAUUCAAUUGUCAGAGGUGAAAUUCUUGGAUUUAUUGAAGACUAACUACUGCGAAAGCAUUUGCCAAGGAUGUUUUCUAUUAAUCAGGAACGAAAGUUAAGGGGAGUCGAAGACGAUCAGAUACCGUCGUAGUCUUAACCAUAAACUAUGCCGACUAGGGAUCGGAUGAUGUUAAUUUUUAAUGACUCAUUC